CCAGACUCCUACGGGAGGCAGCAGUGAGGAAUAUUGGUCAAUGGCCGUAAGGCUGAACCAGCCAAGUCGCGUGAAGGAAGAAGGAUCUAUGGUUUGUAAACUUCUUUUAUAGGGGAAUAAAGGUAUCCACGUGUGGAUAUUUGCAUGUACCCUAUGAAUAAGCAUCGGCUAACUCCGUGCCAGCAGCCGCGGUAAUACGGAGGAUGCGAGCGUUAUCCGGAUUUAUUGGGUUUAAAGGGUGCGUAGGUUGUUUUUUAAGUCAGCGGUGAAAGUUUGUGGCUCAACCAUAAAAUUGCCGUUGAAACUGGAAGACUUGAGUGUGUUUGAGGUAGGCGGAAUGCGUGGUGUAGCGGUGAAAUGCAUAGAUAUCACGCAGAACUCCGAUUGCGAAGGCAGCUUACUAAGCCAUAACUGACACUGAAGCACGAAAGCGUGGGGAUCAAACAGGAUUAGAUACCCCAGUA
rnacentral:rRNA from 1 species